UUAAAAGGCAAAGCAGUUGAAAAGCUGUGACGCAAAACUAAAGGGCCUUCACAAGUUGAUUGUAAGGCAGCCAGUUGC
rnacentral:ncRNA from 1 species